AGGCCUGCCCCCAACAGGGAGGGGUGGCCUCUCUUCCACCACUAUGUUCAGCACAGUGCCAAGAACACAGCCUCCUCCUCCUGCUCCUUAGUCUCACCUGCAGGUCUGUCUCUCCUUGCAUUUCCUCUGCCCCCUCUUAAGUGGCCCCUGCAGUGUUGGCCUCCAGCCCCAUUGCAUCCUGUCCCCAGGUAUGACAUGGAGAGCACAGACAAUGGGGCUUCCAACUCAGAGAAAAACAAGCCCCUGGAGCAGUCUGUGGAAGACCUCAGCAAGGGUCCACCCUCCUCUGUGCCCAAAAGCCGCCACCUGACCAUCAAGCUGACCCCAGCCCACAGCAGGAAGGCCCUGCGGAAUUCCCGCAUCGUCAGCCAGAAGGACGACGUCCACGUCUGUAUUAUGUGCCUACGCGCCAUCAUGAACUACCAGUCUGGCUUCAGCCUUGUCAUGAACCACCCAGCCUGUGUCAAUGAGAUUGCUCUGAGCCUCAACAACAAGAACCCCAGAACCAAGGCUCUGGUGCUGGAGCUGCUGGCGGCCGUGUGCUUGGUGCGGGGAGGACAUGACAUCAUCCUUGCAGCCUUUGACAACUUCAAGGAGGUGUGUGGGGAGCAGCACCGCUUUGAAAAGCUGAUGGAAUAUUUCCGGAAUGAGGACAGCAACAUCGACUUCAUGGUGGCCUGCAUGCAGUUCAUCAACAUUGUGGUACAUUCGGUGGAGAACAUGAACUUCCGUGUCUUCCUGCAAUAUGAGUUCACCCACUUGGGCCUGGACCUGUACUUGGAGAGGCUUCGGCUCACCGAGAGUGACAAGCUGCAGGUGCAGAUCCAGGCGUACCUGGACAAUAUUUUUGAUGUGGGGGCGCUGCUGGAGGACACAGAGACCAAGAACGCUGUGCUGGAGCACAUGGAGGAACUGCAGGAGCAAGUGGCGCUGGUGAGAGUGGGUCCUGACCCCAGCCCAGCACAUCAUAGGCCCACAGGGCACACGGGCCACAGGGCCACGCAAGCAUGGGCACUGGGCAGCAGACAGUGUUAUAGUUGUGCAUUGGAGGUGCUGCCUGCCUGGCCCCAGAGCCUGGCCUGAAUCCAAAGCCUGAAUCUGUUAGGUGUCUUUCUCAAUGAGUGUGGGUGAGCACCCUCACUGACAGGCCCCUCCUCUACCCAGGCUCAGACCCCAGGUGAACUGAAAUGGGUGCCUGGGGCCCCUCCCAGCUCAGUCUCCUCCUCUCCCUCCACCUCCCGCAUCACUGGUACCUUGGUUUCCUCUCCUUAUUUGCUUGGGUUCGAGUGCCAGGCUCGGCCCACCCUUGGCACCUGGGCUGAGCGGAUCUGGAAGCCUCCCCCAGUCUUCCAGGCAGGCAUGCCUGAUGCCGCCCCCUCACCGGCGGUGCCAGUGCCGGGCUGCGGGUCGGGGCUCACCAUGUGCUGGUGCUACAGCUGACAGAGCGGCUUCGGGACGCGGAGAACGAAUCCAUGGCCAAGAUUGCAGAACUGGAAAAACAGCUAAGCCAGGCGCGCAAGGAGUUGGAGACCCUGCGGGUGAGGCUGGGGCGGGUGGUAGGCCAGGCGCCCAAGAACAGGCCAGCUGAGGCUUCUAGGCUUGACAUCUCCCUCCACCCCGGGAAGAGGAUGGGGGCUUGGUGCCAAGGAGCCUGCUGGUGGGCACUGACCCCUCCCGUGGGGUUCGUAGGAGCGCUUCAGCGAAUCGACCGCCAUGGGCGCCUCCAGGCGUCCCCCAGAGCCUGAGAAAGCGCCUCCCGCUGCCCCGACGCGGCCCUCGGCCCUGGAGCUGAAGGUGGAGGAGCUGGAGGAGAAGGGGUUAAUCCGUAUCCUGCGGGGGCCGGGGGAUGCUGUCUCCAUCGAGAUCCUCCCCGUCGCUGUGGCAACUCCGAGCGGCGGUUAUGCUCCGACUCCGGGGGUGCCGACCGGCUCCCCCAGCCCAGGUGCGCAGGAGCUUCAGGCUGGCGGGGAUGCGGGGUAGGGUCUGGAGGGGAGCCCAGGGGCAUCUGUGGCGGGCAGAGUUGGGCGAAGGAGGUUUGGAUUGUAGGCUCGGCUCAGGUAGGAGCGCAUGCGUAGAGCGGAGAGGCGGAGAGGGGCCCACCCAAGCCAAGGAGCUGACUCGCGCCUCCCCCACGCCGCGCCCUCGCUGGCUCAGAUCUCGCACCUGCAGCAGAGCCGGCUCCCGGAGCAGCGCCGCCGCCGCCGCCCCCACUGCCCGGCCUCCCCUCCCCGCAGGAAGCCCCGCCCUCUGCGCCCCCACAGGCCCCGCCUCUCCCUGGCAGCCCGGAGCCCCCGCCUGCGCCGCCGCUGCCCGGAGACCUGCCGCCCCCACCCCCGCCACCGCCACCGCCACCACCUCCGGGCACUGACGGGCCGGUGCCGCCGCCGCCGCCGCCGCCGCCUCCCGGAGGUCCUCCUGAUGCCCUAGGAAGACGCGACUCAGAAUUGGGCCCAGGAGUGAAGGCCAAGAAGCCCAUCCAGACUAAGUUCCGAAUGCCACUCUUGAACUGGGUGGCACUGAAACCCAGCCAGAUCACCGGCACUGUCUUCACAGAGCUCAAUGAUGAGAAGGUGCUGCAGGAGCUAGACAUGAGUGAUUUUGAGGAACAGUUCAAGACCAAGUCCCAAGGCCCCAGCCUGGACCUCAGCGCUCUCAAGAGUAAGGCAGCCCAGAAGGCCCCCAGCAAGGCGACACUCAUUGAGGCCAACCGGGCCAAGAACUUGGCCAUCACCCUGCGGAAGGGCAACCUGGGGGCCGAGCGCAUCUGCCAAGCCAUUGAGGCGUACGACCUGCAGGCUCUGGGCCUGGACUUCCUGGAGCUGCUGAUGCGCUUCCUGCCCACAGAGUAUGAGCGCAGCCUCAUCACCCGCUUUGAGCGGGAGCAGCGGCCAAUGGAGGAGCUGUCAGAGGAGGACCGCUUCAUGCUAUGCUUCAGCCGCAUCCCGCGCCUGCCGGAGCGCAUGACCACACUCACCUUCCUGGGCAACUUCCCGGACACAGCCCAGCUGCUCAUGCCGGUGUGGGCGGAGCGGGCAGGGCGGUGUGACUUGGGAGGGGAUGGGCAGGAGGCAACUCCCAGCCUGGGCUGCGGCAGGGAACCUGGGAGUACUUGAGCCUCCAGAUGGAGGAGGCUCCAACUUAUCUUACCUCCCCCAUCCCACCCCCAGCAACUGAAUGCCAUCAUUGCAGCCUCAAUGUCCAUCAAGUCCUCUGACAAACUCCGCCAGAUCCUGGAGAUUGUCCUGGCCUUUGGCAACUACAUGAACAGUAGCAAGCGUGGGGCAGCCUAUGGCUUCCGGCUCCAGAGCCUGGAUGCGGUGAGGAGGGGCCCCUGGCUUGGGGACUGGGGCUGGGGACUGGCUGGUGGCCUGUGGCUUACAAUGGGUCCUUGUGCAGCUGUUGGAGAUGAAGUCGACUGAUCGCAAGCAGACGCUGCUGCACUACCUGGUGAAGGUCAUUGCUGAGAAGUACCCGCAACUCACAGGCUUCCACAGCGACCUGCACUUCCUGGACAAGGCGGGCUCAGUGUCCCUGGACAGUGUCCUGGCGGAUGUGCGCUCCCUGCAGCGAGGCCUAGAGUUGACACAGAGAGAGUUUGUGCGGCAGGAUGACUGCAUGGUGCUCAAGGAGUUCCUGAGGGCCAACUCGCCCACCAUGGACAAGCUGCUGGCAGACAGCAAGACGGCUCAGGAGGCCUUUGAGUCCGUGGUGGAGUACUUCGGAGAGAACCCCAAGACCACAUCCCCAGGCCUGUUCUUCUCCCUCUUUAGCCGCUUCAUUAAGGCCUACAAGAAAGCUGAGCAGGAGGUGGAACAGUGGAAAAAAGAAGCCGCUGCCCAGGAGGCAGGCGCUGAUACCCCGGGCAAAGGGGAGCCCCCAGCACCCAAGUCACCGCCAAAGGCCCGGCGGCCACAGAUGGACCUCAUCUCUGAGCUGAAACGGAGGCAGCAGAAGGAGCCACUCAUUUAUGAGAGCGACCGUGACGGGGCCAUUGAAGACAUCAUCACAGGUAAGGGCUUGGCCAGUCCUUGGUCUUAUCCUCAGUCUGUCCUUCUAUGCUUUCUUCUGACCCAAUCCCCUACCCUCUGGGGGACUGGCUGCCACACUGCUUCUUGCUACCUUUUCUGUUUUUCUUUCCUUUUUCCUUUCUCUACUCCCCUUCACCUGCCCCACCCCCACUCAGUGAUCAAGACGGUGCCCUUCACGGCCCGCACCGGCAAGCGGACAUCCCGGCUCCUCUGUGAGGCCAGCCUGGGAGAAGAGAUGCCCCUCUAGCCCCUCAGGUACCCAGAUGACCUGGCCUCUGAUACCACCCUGCCCACAGCCCCUGGGACCCUUGGGGGAACUGAGGCAUGCUGCCUUCUCCUGGGCCAGUGGAUGGCUGGGAUGUGAUUUGUGGGGUGGAGGGGGUCUGGCAAACAUAAACGGUACCCCUGCCAUGUGCACACAAUCUGAGUCCUUAGGAGGCUAAGCUUUGUGCCCUGGAGCCAUGCUCCCAGCUCUGGGCGGGCUCCUGAAUGGUAAAUGUGUCUCCUUCGGCUGCCAGAUCUGCGGAACCAGCCCUACAUCCGCGCAGACACAGGCCGCCGCAGUGCCCGUCGGCGUCCCCCGGGCCCCCCACUGCAGGUCACCUCCGACCUCUCGCUGUAGCCGCUAUUUCUGCAGGUGGAUUCUGCAGGGGUGUGGGGCCGUGGACAGGCUGAGGCUCAAGGAAGGUGGUCCUCAGCUCGGCUGGCCGGGCAGCCCCUCCUCCGCUGUGGCCCGCCUCAAACGGGCUGGUGCAUCCUCCUCUUGGCCACAGAGGGCAGCAUCGCCCGCCCCUUCCCCCAAAUGCUGCUUGCAGCACCCACCCUAAAGCCCCCUCCAAAUAGCCAUACUUAGCCUCAGCAGGAGCCUGGCCUGUAACUUAUAAAGUGCACCUCGCCCCCGCAAGCCCCAGCCCCGAGGACCGUCCAUGGACCUUAUUUUUAUACGAGAUUAAUAAAGAUGUUUGCAAAAG
rnacentral:sRNA from 1 species